UUUAACUGAGCGUUCAGUUACUUGACGUAGACCCGAAACCGGGCGACCUACCCAUGAGCAGGAUGAAGCGAAAGUAAAAUUUCGUGGAGGUCCGAACCCACGAGCGUUGAAAAGCUCGGGGAUGACUGGUGGGUAGCGGUGAAAUUCCAAUCGAGCCCGGAGAUAGCUGGUUCUCCCCGAAAUAGCUUUAGGGCUAGCCUCAAGGUGAGAGAUACGGAGGUAGAGCACUGAAUGUCCUAGGGGGUAUUGCACCUACCGAAGACUAUCAAACUCCGAAUGCCGUCAUCUUAUACUUGGGAGUCAGACUGUGGGUGAUAAGAUUCAUAGUCGAAAGGGCAACAGCCCAGAUCGUCAGCUAAGGUCCCUAAAUGUAAGUUAAGUGGUAAAGGAUGUGGGAUUGCACAGACAACCAGGAUGUUGGCUUAGAAGCAGCCACUCAUUCAAAGAGUGCGUAAUAGCUCACUGGUCGAGUGAUCC
rnacentral:rRNA from 1 species